UUUUUGGAUUUUCAUUCAUGGUUAUCAAAUCCUUUAAUGCCGCAUCAUAAAUCAUAAAUCCAAGAGAUCAAUUUUCAACAUGAUUCAACUGGUAUUGAAUACCACGUUUGGAAUCCAACAGCCCCCUCUCUGCAUCGUGUACACAGUUUAAAAUUUAUUAACUAUUGAAGCGGGUCCCAUUUCAAAGAAAUCUUCACAUCUUCUCUAAUGUUUAGUUUUUUUAGCCCUCGAAGCCAUUGAGUAUUGUUUAGCACUAAAUCAAUUUGAAGAGCCUCUCAGCCUCAUAGCCUUUUCUAGGAACAUGCCUUGCACAGAUGAUGCAGCGGAGUACAGACAGACCGGUUUUUCAUAAUUAUAUAAAUACCCAUAGGCCCAUGAAUUCGAAGCUCUUUUGUAAAAUAACGCUGUCAGCGUACGGAUCUGGACUAGGAUACACAUUGUACUUAUACUUAAAUAUAUUUCUAUUAUACAUUCAUCCACGCAUUUCCUCUUUCUCUAUUACGAGAUAAAACCUUAAUAUUAACUAAUAUCUACUGUUAAGAUAAUAAAUCUCGGGGAUUAUCGAAAUAUACUUGAGUAUACUUGGAGUUGUGCAGGAGAAGAUUCAUCAAGCUCGACUGUCUUUUGAUAUUUAUACUAAUUUAUCAAGACACCUCCGCACCAAUCAGCAAGGCGUAUGUUCAAGGUCAAAUAUUUUACGAUCUUGGUCAUUCGUUGUAGUCGGCGUAUUCGAACGAAUAUCGACUCUUGAAAAUACUUCUUUAAUAUGCGUCAAUGGUACACGUGAAUGCACUUGAUGAUGAGAAAUUACAAAUUUAACUUCAAUCACUAGAAAAUUUAAGACACUACAAAGAAACAAUUCUUAAGAAACAUUUCUUUUAAUAAUAAAAUUUCUCUCGUAACACUACAAUGUAAAGGACGUAAUACAUGGUCAGAUACGAACAGAUUAGAUAACUCAAAGAAAACAGAUGAAAAUUAAAGAAAAGGUCAUUAAAAAAGUGAAAAAAGGAGAAGGAAGAUCCUAUUAUAGAGCAGAGCAUAAUAAAAAAUAAAGGAAACUAGGGACUAAGGGAUAGGGUGGAGGACUGACAGUAGAAGGGCAAAAACAUCAGAAGAGAUGGAGGAAAUGAGGAAAUUAGGAAGUUUUUAGAGAAGGGAGAACCUUGUGCUAAACAUGGAAAAGUCCAAAAUAAUGGUUUUCAGAAACGCGAGAGGAAAGUGAAAAAUAGAAAAAUAAUUUUUGGAAGGGAGAAAAGUGGUCAGUAAAAGAAUUUAAAUGUCUAAAAUACAGUCUGAAACAAAAUCCACUAAUUUGACUCGUUAAUCAAAAGUAUUAUGCUGUAUAGAGCAAAGAAAUGGGGCUGGAAAGUACAAAACAGGCUGGGCAUGAUAAGGGUGAAAAUACAGAAACAAAAUUAUAGUAAAAGCAGGCAAAAAAUCAACAGCACUUGAAGAAAAAAUAAGGUGAGAGUCAGAUGAUGAAAUAUUAAAGGAAUGUUUAUAAGAAAUAAAAAGAGAGAAGAUAGUACGAUAACAAAGUAGCAGAAAAAAGGAGGGAAUUUUGCUUUAAAAAUGGUCUAUUAAUAAGAGCAGUAAAAAGAAGAGAUACUAGAAAGAGUGUUAUGAGCGAAGUAGUGACGAAGGAAAUUGAAAUACAAAGGCAAUAGCUGUACAACAAGAAACAACAAUUAAGAUACAAUACAGAAUACAGAGAAACUGAACAAGACGAAUGGCAAAAUAAUUAACAGGAAGAAAAAGAGAUAUACAAAGUACAGCAAGAUUCUGGUGCGAAAAUGAAGAACGAAGAAAUCUACAAAGUGUGCAAAAGACAAAAAGGAACACUGAAACACUUGGCCAUGAACUGGAAUUUCAUAUAUUUGGACCAUUUUUAUACACAUUUAGACCAAGCCAAAGCUUUAAAAGGGCAGAUGAUAGGAAGAAUUUUAUUAGACAAAAUGAAGUAGUUCUUAGUGGUUGGUAAUGAUUAGAAUGCAGAUAUUUAUGCAAUUUUUUAUGAACGCAAUGGGAGAGAUGGACCCUAAGUAAAGAUUUGUUUAAUCCAUCAAUAACUAUACUUGACUUAUUUACAUACAGAAUAUUCCGUUGUAUGUGAAAAAUAUUUAGAUGGAGUAAAUUGAGCACACUAAUUUUUAGAUUAUUAAUUAUGGGGACAUUUAAAAUCUGUUGUUCAUGAAAUGUUAGUUAACAAUGUUGAAACUCUUCAUCAAUAUGAUGAUUAAAGUUGCCGACAAAUCCGUGUGGUCUGUUCAAAAAUGUUUGACAAUCUACGAUGUAACGUAUUCAAGCCUCUAUUAAAGCUGUGAUGAUUUUGAGCAAUUAUUCUGAAGUAUCCUGAAUCUGCCCCAGCUAUGUCUCCCAUAUCGAUCCCUAUAUUACCUACGCAGAGUGUGAGUGUGUAGAGAAUGGAAAGAGUUUUAAAACGACAGAGCAGUUAAAAACAGCGUGCGAGGCUCCUACAAAUGGGAGUAAGCGCAUUCUUGCACGUGUGCUUCGAGUGACGUGGUGGACAGACUGGAUGCAAUGAGCAUAUACCGUCCCAUACUCGGAGCGCCACACCGUCUAAGAAUGUGCAGACUCAGCGAUCACGAGUGCUGCAACGUUGUUGCGGGGGAACCCCAAUUUUAAAAAGUGGAAGUUGAGACGAGUAGUCGGUAUCGCGAAUUCACAAGUCUUUUGCCCCGAUUUGUAUACGUUUUGAGUAAGUCUCGCACCUGUACGGCAGAUAUCCGUAAAAAGGCAAUAGGCUUAAAUCUGUGGGAUAGUGUAGAGCUUUGUCCGGUAGAUGUCCAGCGUUGCCCAAAUGAUUGUGCGUAAAUCUAGUUCGCACAUUGAAACAAUGACAUAAUCUUUUGUAACAUAACUUGUUGUAACGUUUGUACAACUCUGAUAUACAAACGUAGACUGGGACAACGGUACUACGAGACUGAGAGGAAAAACACUCAAACAAGUGUGAGUAUAUAAUACAGUAACGAAGAACAAACAAGCAUCUAGAAUGAGUCAUAGGUGCUAGAUCAAGUAAUAUUGGAAAUGAAACAUGCCUUGUUACUUUUCGAAAAUCGACUCGUUGUGCUUGAAAUCGUUUUAAAUGGAAGAUUAGAACAGCGGGUACUCGAGAGAUCAGGUAUUGUUUCGUACUUGGAGUGCAGAUCAUCUUACAAUUCGGUUUCACCUGACAUCAUGAAAAAUUUAUUUCAUUUUAGAUCCUAUUGCAUUAAAAACUGCAAUUUUCAAGCGAGGAAUUUUUCAAUAAAAUUUACAUUAUUAUUAAUUAUUAUGAAUUAUUUCAAUCAUUAUUAAUUAAUAUAACUAUUAAAUUGCAUUGUUAAACUUGCAUACACUAUACCUUUCUUUCUCUGGCAGUACAAGCUUCACAACUAACUUUAUUGCUCCCACUCAUCAAUUCUAAAGCUGUAAACUGA